GGCUUAGAGUUUGAUCAUGGCUCAGGAUGAACGCUGGCGGCGUGCUUAACACAUGCAAGUCGAAUGUAGUUUACUACAUGGCGGACGGGUGAGUAACGCGUGAGCAAUCUGCCCAUAUCUGGGGGAUAACAGUUGGAAACGACUGAUAAUACCGCAUGCUAUCGUUCGGGGGCAUCCCCUUACGAUGAAAGAUUUAUCGGAUAUGGAUGAGCUCGCGUCUGAUUAGGUAGUUGGUGAGGUAACGGCCCACCAAGCCGACGAUCAGUAGCCGACCUGAGAGGGUGAUCGGCCACAUUGGAACUGAGACACGGUCCAAACUCCUACGGGAGGCAGCAGUGGGGAAUAUUGGGCAAUGGAGGAAACUCUGACCCAGCAACGCCGCGUGAAUGAUGAAGGUCUUCGGAUUGUAAAGUUCUUUUCUGAGGGACGAAGAAAGUGACGGUACCUCAGGAAUAAGCCUCGGCUAACUACGUGCCAGCAGCCGCGGUAAUACGUAGGAGGCAAGCGUUAUCCGGAAUGACUGGGCGUAAAGGGUGCGUAGGUGGUUCAGCAAGUUGGCAGCGUAACUCCGGGGCUCAACCUCGGCACUACUGCCAAAACUGUUGGACUUGAGUGCAGGAGGGGCAAUCG
rnacentral:rRNA from 1 species